GAGAAAAGGAAGAGGAAAAAAAAAAAAAAAAAACCCUAGCCGCCGGCGCCGCUCGCCGUCGCCGCCGUGUACCCGAGCCGCCCAAGCCCUCUUCUUUCUUUUCGUCAGCUCAGCCGUCACCGCCGCCGGACUCAGCCAACGCGUAAGGGAGCCCAGCCGCAGUCACGAGCCGAGCCUCCUCGUCCAUCCGGCGCCGCCACAUCGAGUCGGGAAGUUCGAAGCCGCGCUCGCCAGCCGUCGCCUUCGCGGAUCGCCGUCGCGUCUGCUAGCAGAAGCCGCGUUCGCUUCGCCGACGUUCACACGCCCAGCCGCGUCGCGCCGCUUCGAUCUGACGCAGCACAGUCGAAGCGUCCGCCUACAGCUGUCGCCGAGCGAAGCCGUGGUGUAGCCGGACCUUCCGCAGCCGUCGCGCCAUCCGAAAUCCGGAAGCCAGCGCCUCGUUGCGCGAAGACCCGACCCGGCCGAAGCCCCGCUCCUCGACUCGAAGCCCGACCCGCGCCGCGUGCACCUGGGUAGCCGAGCAGCGCCCGCGUGCGCGCCGCACGUGCGCAGCCUCUGUACUGAGCCGAGCCGCGCCUGUCUGCGCCGCGAGCCGAGCCGAUCCCAAACCUUCAAGCCGAGCCGGUCCCUGUCCUUUUUCCAGCCGAGCCGCCAAGCCUAGUUUGGCUCCUUCCAUCCAAAUUUUGGGACGUCUUGGACCAAGUAACUGCUGCAGCAUGGGAUUUCUUCAGUAGGGGCUCAAGCAUUGCAACCUCUUUCUAGGUUAGGACCUCGUUGCUUGGAAAGCACACUUGUCUUGCGGUUAGGACUCGCCAAGUAAAUCUCCAGGUAGAGGACGAGGUAAGGGCAAAGGCAAGCUGGCGAGCGACCAGAAGUGACCGUGGCGAGCCAUAGGGAUUUCUGCUUCCGCUUACUCUUGUUUUGACUGAUCUUGUAGGUUUUCGAAGAAUCCGUGGACGAUAAGAACAUGCCGAUUUAUGCUUUGGUUUUCACUAUUUUAAGUGAAUUAUAUGUGUCAUAUAUUUUAUGGUAUUACCAUUUAUGUAAUUAAUUCUUGUAAAACCUUUACUGAAG